rnacentral:rRNA from 1 species
GCUUAACCAUGCAAGUCGAACGGUAGCACAAAGGACUUGCUCCUUGGGUGACGAGUGGCGGACGGGUGAGUAAUGCUUGGGAAUCUGGCUUAUGGAGGGGGAUAACUACUGGAAACGGUAGCUAAUACCGCGUAAUAUCGUAAGAUUAAAGGGUGGGACCUUCGGGCCACUUGCCAUAAGAUGAGCCCAAGUGGGAUUAGGUAGUUGGUGGGGUAAAGGCCUACCAAGCCUGCGAUCUCUAGCUGGUCUGAGAGGAUGGCCAGCCACACUGGAACUGAGACACGGUCCAGACUCCUACGGGAGGCAGCAGUGGGGAAUAUUGCACAAUGGGGGGAACCCUGAUGCAGCCAUGCCGCGUGAAUGAAGAAGGCCUUCGGGUUGUAAAGUUCUUUCGGUGAUGAGGAAGGCAGGUAUUUUAAUAGAAUACUUGAUUGACGUUAGUCACAGAAGAAGCACCGGCUAACUCCGUGCCAGCAGCCGCGGUAAU